GAGUGAGUGGCGGACGGGUGAGUAACACGUGGGUAACCUGCCCUAAAGUGGGGGAUAACAUUUGGAAACAGAUGCUAAUACCGCAUAAAACCUAACACCGCAUGGUGUAGGGUUGAAAGAUGGUUUCGGCUAUCACUUUAGGAUGGACCCGCGGUGCAUUAGUUAGUUGGUGAGGUAAAGGCUCACCAAGACCGUGAUGCAUAGCCGACCUGAGAGGGUAAUCGGCCACACUGGGACUGAGACACGGCCCAGACUCCUACGGGAGGCAGCAGUAGGGAAUCUUCCACAAUGGACGAAAGUCUGAUGGAGCAACGCCGCGUGAGUGAAGAAGGUUUUCGGAUCGUAAAACUCUGUUGUUGGAGAAGAAUGUAUCUGAUAGUAACUGAUCAGGUAGUGACGGUAUCCAACC
rnacentral:rRNA from 1 species